AAACCGCCUAGAGGUAAACGGGUGGAUCCGCAAAGUCGGCCCGCGGAAUUCAGCUCGGAAGGCCGUGAGCCUGCGGUGGGUCGGGGAUCUUAUCGACCCUCCUGCCGCGGGACCUCGCGUCGACCGUGUGCACUUUCCGCGGGCAGAGCGCCACGACCGGUUCUCGGGCGGUCAGAAGGCGGCGGGGAUGGUAGGCGUGCGCUUCGGCGUGCGCUGGUAUAGCCCCGCCUGUCCCGAUCCGCUCGGGGACCGAGGAGCCGCCGCCGGCGUAGGCCGCCUUGCCUUCCCGGGAGGUUCGACUGGCAGAGACUGGGUAACCGUGUCUGCCGACCGCCUCUCGGUGACGGAUGGGGUGNGCCCGCCGGCACAGGGUCGGUGGCGAAUCGGUCGGCCCUCCACCCGACCCGUCUUGAA
rnacentral:rRNA from 1 species